GGCGAGAUGGCCGAGCGGUCUAAGGCGCUGUGUUAAGGUGUUCUAUUGAGCAUCCGCAGUCUUCGGACGUGGGUUCGAAUCCCACUCUCGUCA
rnacentral:tRNA from 2 species